GGAUAGAUACCCUAUUAUACCUUUAAUAAAAAGCUAAUAUCUGAUUAUUAACAGUUAUGUUCUUUAAAUUCAAAGAAUUUGGCGGUAUUUUAGUCUGAUUAGGGGAACCUGUCUUUUAAACGAUAAACCACGAAGAAUCUUACCUAUUUUUUUGUAGUUUGUAUACCGUCAUUGAGAUAACUUUUAUAGAAUAAGUUAUUGAAAUAAUUUCGUUAGAAUAUUAGAUCAAGGUGCAGCAUAUAUUUAGGUUAAGAUGGGUUACAAUAAAAUUUAUGUUAGAAUGGAUGUAUUUUGGAAACAAUAUUCUGAAGGAGGACUUAAAAGUAAGGCUAUUUUAAUAAGGUAGCUUGAUUUUAGCUCUAAAAUGUGUACAUAUCGCCCGUC
rnacentral:rRNA from 1 species